AAAAAGAUAAGCUAAUAAAAGCUAUUAGGUUCAUACCCUAAAUAUAGAAUGAAAUUCUUCUUUUUA
rnacentral:tRNA from 1 species